GACGACUGCGAGCGAGACAUUUACAAACCAACUUAUCGAUCCAGCGCGUGGAAACGUUUUGGCUUUUGCAAACACGGAGGUGUUCUAAAUAAGUCGUCGCUGUUUGUAGAAUAUGUAGAAGCCAAAUAGAAAACCACGGAAACACGACGAAUCUUUCCGGCCAUCUACUACGGCGCCGUGGGAUUCAACAACGCCGACAGUCAGGACCUCUAGCAGCGUCACCGCUGCAGCAGCAGCAGCAGGUAACUCAGCUCUGCAGACGCCUCAGGCCUCGCCAGCACCAAACUCAACAUCACAGUAACAAUUGCCAAGUUUAUCUGUAAAGACCUGCGACCCGACAAUGUGGUUGAACAUCCGGGGUUCUGUGAAUUGAUCCAAACAUUGUGUAAUUAUUGUGUAAUGUUUACAUUGAAAAUGGCACUUGAUUCAAAUAAAAGGUUAAUACAUUUGCCAUUAAUUGUUUGCUUGUUUAUAAUAUCCAUCAUUAAUUUCCUUACAAGAAACAACAGGGAUCUCAGAAACUUUGCCUGCACUGUCCAGUAAAGUUACUGAAUCCAUUUCAAGUCACUGAAUCGAAUCGUUCUAAAUUAACCCAGAUCGUCCAUGAAUCGAAUCGGCAACCAUGAAUCGCGUAUUGAAUCGAGUCGUUGUUAAAAUGAAUCGUUACACCCGUAUUUGUAAUGUAUCUGCUUAAAUCAAAUAGAAAAGGAAAAAAACGCGUUUGGAUCUUUUGCUGAACCAAAGGGCCUUGCAGGAUGUUUGCAGGAUGGAGGACGGCGUCGUCAAUAAUAAUCACCUUGAAUCGUUCUUAAAUAGACCGUAGCGAUCAGGCCCACUUCUUGCAGUGUUUUAUAAUCACGUGAAGAUUAUGAAACACUGGCAAACAUUGUCUUGUGACUCAUGCGUUUGCAACUAUUGGCUGGAAUUUAUAUUCUUAGAAUUUAGAAACAGCGGCCUCUGUAGGGAACAUGUAAACUCAUUGACCUCUGCUUGACCUCUGGGUCGUCUGUAAAGAGACACUGAGAUGCGGAGCCUGAAGAGGACAUCGAUGCCUCAACCGUCUCACCUCUUCUGUCCCUGUCUUUAAGAGGGGGGGGAGAAUGCGGAUGAAAGGUUGUGUUGCCUUUAGAAAAACACUUUUUUUCACCGAUGUCAUAAAAGUUUGCUUGUUUUCACGCUUUGCAUGGAUUUUCUUACCGGGAACACAGGAGUCUCACAGAGACUCACCUAUCGACAAGAUCCCGCCGGCCUUUUUCUCACAAACCGUCCGACAAAGUGAUUCACAGAUGUUUCGCGAAACCGGAGAGGAAACGCGGUAUCAGAGUUAAAACAGCGGCGAUGCAUUUAGCUUAUUGGAAAGCUCCGUUGUGCUUCAGUCUCUCGUGCAGCCGAAGCAACUUGAAGCGCGUUGCAGCAGCGAUUUCAGGUUUUAAGAAGGAAUAUUCUCACACACAUUUAGGCUGCAUGUGUCAACGCAGAGCGCGCUGCUUAUUCUCUACCAUCAACCCCCCCCCCCGGCUCCCCGAGCGGCGGCCCAACUGGCAAACGUCGGCUCGGCGAGCGGAGAGAGAGAAUCCCGGGAAAUGCCGGUUCGUCCCCGCGGGGGGAAACCACGUCGCUGGGUGGCGUCCAGGAGACAGAAGACAGAGUGGGACGUUGGCUCCAGUCGAGAUGGAACUGUUGGCAGGACGGUGGGACGGCUACGAAAUACAGAUACGAGGAUGUCUCCGCGACUCCGACGAGUCGUCCAUCUGAGCCAGAAGGGUCGGAAUGACCGUACAAAGCGAAAUACUUUACACUUGUUGUCCACGUGUUCAGCAUAGUUGUUCAUUUCUUACUGUGGCUCAGGGUUAUUUCUUAAGCUCAACACACUAACAUUUUGGUACCUUCAAAAGUUUAAACCACUGGCCGAAGUUGAAAGGAGACUAUUGGCAGGCUGAUGGGCCGCAAUGAAAAGCUCCUCUAAUGAUUUGACCAUCUGCCUCGGGGAGGACAUUCAAGGGUCAGUACAUGCUCACUGUGUUCGGUGCCACUUCAUUGUGCUUGCGACUCCUUCUUCUAUAAACAUCGAGUGUUAUGAAGAGUUUGCGAAAGAUGCGACUCCAGAAGACAACGAGCACUUUGUGUGUCUCCUCGUUCAGUCACAUAUAGAGCAACACACUGUGCUUCAAUCAAUCGAUGAGCAUUAGAGUACUCCUGUCCUGGUUGGGUAACAUGAACAGCACAACCAGGAAGAGUAGAAGACGGUUUAUGGAGACACAAUACCGUUCACGGCGCUGGACGCACCAAAAAGACUUCACUGGACACUUCCUACGAUCGCCGACCGUUUUUGACGGAGGCCUCGCGGGGCGGCGCGCCUGCAACGCGAUCGCAUUAAAUCCAAUUUGCCGAACCCGAUCUCCAAGGCCAAGUGUAAGUACAGCCCUCGAUUGCCCCCCCCGUCGUCUGGAGGUCAGGAGCUGACCGGUGCACAUCCGUCAGGAUACGCCAUCAGUCAAGGGUUGGCUCAAGCUGUAAUAACAGCCAGACACCGGCACACAGAGGUUACACGCAGUGCAAAGUCGCGCGCACGCUUAGGAUAACCCCCCCGAGUGACUCAACCGAAAGCCUAACACAUGCUAGCAUUCAUUAGGAACAACCGGCGAGCACUUGGACAAUGUUUAGAUGGAGUUGGCCGGCUCAGGCAGAGAGAGAAAAUGAAGAUGUUUCUUUCCGUUUCUCUCUCAGCGAGCUGGAUUCUCCGACCGACUCCAAAGGACAGCCAAGGGUUACCAGAUGCUGGCGCUAGCUAACGCGCUAGCUAACAUGCUGCAUUUAAAGGGGGGGGAAAAGCACGGAAUGGCGGCGCCUGUGGCGGGUUGUCGAUGCUUUUUACUCCCCGGCGGACACGGGAGCUCUGUGGACGGCUGCCGUGAUCAAUGCGAUCGAUACGAAUAUGACGCAGCGCCCGGACAGCGGCAGCGUUCAGUGUGUGUGAGCGUCUCGCCCGAGGACGCUUCCUGGACCUCGUGUUCAGCGGCCCUCCAACGGCGAUUAAUAAAACGCAAUCCGAUACGCUACUGUACACAACCCCCGUGAUUAAUCUCUGACACACAUUUUCCGUUCAUCCGUCUUCCCUCCGUCCACUUUCUUGUCUUUCUCCGUCUCUCUCACACACACACACACACACAAAGACGCACACACAGCGACGGAGGACGGGUGAUCAACAACACGAUCCUUGUUCGUGAACUCGUCGGGACCUCUGGCCGGCUACCGUUGCUCCAACACACGAUACACAGACACGCACCGGAGGACAGACGGCCCUCGAUCACGGUCAAACAAGUGCGCGCACACUUUCUACACACACACACACACGCACACACACUUGUCCGGCUGUCUGGGAUUCACGGAGGUGACUUUGGCCCAGCGAGCGUAUCGCCGAGCUCAAGGAAAACACGCGGUUUAUGUUCCACGUGGGCCGAGGACGCUGCAGGCCGCCGGCCGGCCGGCGGCCCGUAGGCCGCAGGGACGUGUCACUCUGCACCGCGUGUGCGCGUCAGCAAGAAAUAGAAGACGCGAAGAAGAAAGCGCUGUCUUACCGAGGACGAGGGAAUAGGGGUGCGAGGCAACGAGUGGGCGUGUUUUCUCGGUCUGUAAUCAUCAUGUCACCCUGACCAUCUGAACUCUUAAACAAAUGUCCCACACUGACAAACACAUCGGAGACACACAUUCCUACGGGACCUUGAAUGCAUCACAGCAACUAUAUGUUGCACAGUGGAAAGUGGCAGCUGCACACACACACACACACACACAGGAGGACAUUCAUACCGGUGGUUUUGGGAUCUCGUCCUGGCUGCUGUUCUGCUGGUGAACUUUGGUCGGAUGACUAAAGUCCUCCGAUGAGACGAUGUUACACACUUUCCUCGGAUAAAUGAUUUCGCAAAAAUGUUUUUGACUAGUUACUGAAAAAGUGAUUCUGAUGUGGGGGGGGGGGGUCUCCAUAAACAACCGAAAACCCAAAGCCACAAAACCGGGACGCGAAGCUGCAGCUCAGCCUCCGUUUGUUGGAAGGAUCCACAGCUACUUGCUGUCGGGGGGUAAAUAAGUGACCCGGUGAAAAGGAAAUGGUUCCACGGUGUUCUGCUUGAACACUUCUAUUCUAGUUAUUACGCUUUCGUUUGUAGUAUUGUGGUGGAUUGUUUGAGAAUUCCACUAUUAGUUAUUCAUUUUUUAUGAGAUGCAGUUUCAACCGAAGAGAUGCAACGCGCCAGAAAGUCAUCUCGACCAAAAAGUGGAUUUUAAGGAAAGAAACAAAACUGUCGUCUCUCUCUGCCUUUGUUUCUCUUGUUUUAAUGCUUUCCGUCUCUCUUCUUCUGUCUGUGUGUGUGUGUCUGUGUGUGUGUGUGUGCGUGCGCGCAUUCUGUCACAUAGUGUAAGUGAUACAGAUAGAGCGACCGCAGCCUGUGAUAACAGGAUUACUAGACAGCCGUGUUUAAUUUGAGCUCGGGGCAAAUACAGGCUGAGUGUGUGCGUGUGUGUGUGUGUGUGUGUGAGAGGGAAAGUGUGUGUGUCUUUUUAGGUGGCUUCGAUUCCUGUAAGUGCGGUGUCUGAAUUGGCUUGCUACCCUACCUUCCUACAUGCAUGCACACACACACACACAGACACACACACAGACACACACACACACACACAAUUUGGAUAAUACCUCAAUAUCGGUUGACUUAUUUUUAGAAGGGAUCACGUCCAAGGAACAUUUUUCUUUUGUUUUAAGUUUCAUUUUGUUUUCCCUCACCAACUCCAACACCAACUGUGCAUGCACACACACACACACACACACACACACACGCACACACACACAGGAGCCACGUCGUCCAAAGAGAAGAUGAGGGGAGAAUGUAUCUUCCUGCCUUUGCCAAAUAGUUGCAGUCAUGCAAACAUGGUCGGUCCACACACACACACACACACACACACACACACACACGCACACGCACACGCACACGCGUGCAUACUUUUCCUGUGGUUAGGAUUCUCAAAUUAGUUGGUCAGCACUCAUUCGUAUCCAGGGGGGGUUGUUGGUUGGAUUCCCGUAACUGAAGCAAUUUGGUCCCGUUUCUUCUUCCUCUUCUUCCUCCUCUUCUUCGUCUCAACACCAUCGGCAUUCUUCAAAUAACCCCGACUGCCGACAUUCUUUCCUCUCUUUGUCUCAGCCUCUCUGUCUCUGAACAUGAAUAUAGUUUAUAUUUUGGUUUUCUGUGCUGUAUUUUGUUUUUUUGGGGGGGGGGGAAAUCAUCCAGAUUCACAUUCCAGCCUCGCCGCACUUUGUCAUUCAAGGAAUUCUGUUCAAGGACUUGAAUUAAAACUCUUAAACGCGAUUCAUCAAAACGUGAGAGAUGCAAAUGAACGACCGUUUUUCUCUCUCCUCCGAAGCAACAUCGACAUCGAUCGUUACUUUGGAGACAACUUCACGGUCAAACAUUGUCCUCGUGUCUCCCUGAGCCUCCUUCUCUCUUCUUCUCUCUGUGCCACUCUGGUUGACUCCCACCGAGCUUUCAGUAAGCAGUAUUCCAGAGGUUGCAUCUGUGUGUGUGUGUGUGUGUGUGUGUGCGUGUGUGUGCGUGCGGUUCAAACCUCUCAGAAGGUGAUGACAAGACCUCACAACGCAGGGUUUUUCUUUCAUGCCAUGAAAUCGCUCUGUUUCACUUUUAUUACUUUCUUUUCUUGUCUGUCUCUCUCGUCUCCCCCUCCUCCCCUCGGUCUCCCCCUCCUCCCCUGACCCACUUAAACAACAUGGAAACGGUUCGCGGGCGUGAUAAAACAACGCGCUACGUACGCAUGAGACACCCGCUCGACAUCCCUUCUGUUCGAGCUCCGUCUCCUCUGACUGAAACGAGCAUUCAUGAAAGUUUAAUAAAAUAAAUAGAAAGGUUCAUUAAAAGAAACACAACUAACACACACACACACACACACGCGCACACACACACGCACGUCUUUCCCAACAGUCCGCGAGUUGUUACAUAAGGAGAUAAUGAGCCGUCAAAUACUGUAUAUGAUCCACUUUUCCAGAACCUUCCGUCUGACCACAAAGAACAGAGCGUACACACACACACACACACACACACACACACACACACACACACACACAAGCUCCCUCCGUAUUCAGCCACUGUAUCCCGUCUCAUCUUUCCCUCCACGUUUUCAGAAUAACUCGUGCAUGCAGUUUGUGAGGGAAGGGGGGUGCAGAGAAGAGAACAUUAUAUUAUUAUUAUAUUAAUAUUAGAACAACUGAUCUCAACGUUGAUCCAAAUGUGCCCAUAAAAUCAACAAAUAAAAAAUAAAAAGAGUGAAAGAAGGGGGGGUUACGGCAGAGGUGGGGGGCACCUGAUAGAAUCAUUUAAGGGGCGGGGCUUGGACGCGCCGGUCGUUAGCAUGUGGCGAGAUCAACUAAAUGAAUGUAAUGGAAUUAAAGUGCCUUGGAUCCAGAAACGGGACGGACUCCAGUUCAAUUAACCCGCCCUCACACACGUCUGUUCAACGUCAGCCGCCUCCGGCUCCACACGCACACGCACACACACACACACGCGUCUGUGUGGCAUCUGAAGAGAGUUUGGCAAGUCAAGACAUUGGAGAGGGACAAGGCCAAGUACUGGGUCACCGAGGGGACAGACACACACACACACACACACACACACACACACACACACACACACACACACAGAGAGAGAGAGGAGCUGAACAUGAAGCAGAGACACACACACGCGGGCCAACUUGCAGGAGUCAACAUCUUUGAGUUGAGAACGUCCUCCUGCCAGAACCAGAGCGAGGCGGGAAAAUGCUCCUUUGCGCCAAGUCCUUUGACCUUUGACCUUUGGUGCGUUAACGUCAGUUCCGUUCUCACGGGUCAAUCUGAGAUGAUCUCCUCCUGCUCCUCCUCCUUUCACUGCGGCGACGCACCUGGCUGGGACGUGAGGUCAGCGAACGGUGCUUUCGGCGCAUUGAUCUCUCACUCUGCUCCUCCUCGUGCACCGCCAGCAAACACGCCGCUCAUCUGGAAUCACCGGAGACGUGCGGAGAAACACGCGCGGCGCCCCCUCAUUAUUUGUGUUUACCCGCCGCCGCCCCCCGAUCAGCACCCUGCAAACACGCUGAGCUCGGCCGUAAUGUGUGUGUGUGUGUGAAUACGGCUGUAACGUCUCAGAGCGGCGGGUCACAAACACAAAAAGGUUCUGACAACAGCACGCGUGCAUUUUUCCGUGUGUUUGUGUGUGCGGUGUCAUGUGCGUGCAGCGUUGCGUGGGUGCACAUGUGUGUGUGUGUGUUUGUCUGCAGUUUAAAUGGGGGCACUGGCGGGUUUACAGGAGGCAGGCUGGUUUACUGGUCCCUAAACAGUCAAUGAAGACUCCCCCCCCCUCUUCCUCUUCCUGCCGGACCACCGUCCAGUUGGCCCCCCGACGGCCGCGCUCGAGUCAACGCCGGGGGGCAUCGGCCCUCCGCACCGCCGCAGACCCGACGGAGCCCGACAGGAAGCUCUUUCUUUUUUUAUUUUUCUAUCUCCACCAAAAGUGUUUUGUUUGGUCCGACCCGUCCUGGCAGAGCCCCGCGGCCCGACCGGAGCCAGGACUCGCCGAGGCGGGAAUCGAGGACUCUCUGCCAUGCGGCACAGACGACGGAGGUAUGCGGACAGCUGGGCCGGCGCGGCGCCGAGUGAGCUGAGCCGGCGUCCGCACACGUUUGUCCGCACGCUGCGUUUCUAGCGACCGUUCUUCCAACCCAAGCCUCCGUUUUAUUUCCCUUUCCAGAUCUCUGUCUCGCGUCUUCGCCGCUCCACCUCUUCACCGGCCAAAACGUCUCUCUUCGGCUUCUCUCCUCGCGUCUUUCGUCCAGCUCUCAGUCUUGGCUCCCUCGCUUUCUGAUUCCUCGCGGGCCCCCGCGUUUUGAGUUCGACUCCUAAGCGCCGGGGCGGCCCGGCUCGGGGAGUUGAACGCAUCCUGGAACCUCGCCGAAGGCCAAGCGAGAGUUGAACCCACAUCACGGCUCGGCCGCGUGUCUGCAUGUGUGCGCGUGUGCGUGUGUUCUGCGGCGGGGCAAUCAGCUUCGAGCCAGAGGCGAGGAGGGCGGGAAUUGUGGGGAAAUAAACAGAGUUUAACACCAAAAAACGCGCGCGCACUAAUGAAAAGCAAACACAAGUUUCAAAACGCUCCUGAGAGGUUCCAAGGGGACAAACUGUUUUUCAUAGCUUGUAUUCUUUGAUGAGCAAUUAUCCUGCUCCCCCACGGCCUUUUGGACGAUAUUAAUCGGCGGGAAGCAGAACAUUGGUGGAUAUGGCCAACAAAGAGCCACUUACUGCUUUAAUUAUCCGUCAAUGGAUUCAGCAUCUGUCUGCACUAAAGACAUGGCUCGCCGCGCUGGAACGCUCACACACAACCUUGUACUUCUAUCUCUGUGAGGACACUCAUUGACGCUACGCGUCCCCGUGGCAGAAACCUCAAAGUGGCCUUUGAAGGGAGGACGGAUGUCCUCACGGAAGUCCACGCUCACACACACACACACACACACAGGGUACCCUGAGCAUUUGCCGUGUUUUGCGUCUUCUCUUUCGUGUUUGACCUGCUGAAAUGUGCUUUACAAAGGAAACCUGAUAACUGUCGUGACUUCAAGUGGCCAGAACGGGACGAGCUGGAAAUAUACUGGAUACCCCUAAACAGCCGACUCGUCUCUGAAUCGUCUGGUGGCAUCACGGGGUAUCGUGAGGCUCAUCCCAACGUCUUUCCAGAAGAACAAGCCGUCUCGGCCCCCACGGUGUUUGAUUGAUCAUCGGCGUCUGGGAAGUAAAAUACAGAGAAACCCACAGCAGAGAAGCCCAGAGAUACAUUUAAAAUGACAGUAAUUAUACAUCAAAUCAAGAUCAUUACACUGUGUCCUGCAGCCACUACAGCGUUUCUUUAUGUCACGACAAAGUGAGGGAGUCACAUGCUAAUCCCAAACACAUGGCUUCUGAAACGUUGGGCCAUAAAUCACAGUAAGUGGGCAUCAUCCAGCGGAGAGGUGGUUUUAAGAACUGAGAGCGAGGAGAGGAAACGGAGACGCGCAUUCUGCCAGCGUUACACAGCGAGCCGCGAGGACCAUCGAGGUCCGCGGACUCCGUUCAUCAACGCGCCGUCCGAGGACGGACGAAGCUAGAGAUGAAGACUAAAUAAUAAGAGACAUACAGGCGGGUCGAGGUGAUGCAGAGGACACGGCGGACAGGUCGACUCAGGCUGUGUAAUCAUUCACGGAUGGAAGAUUGUUGGAUAAGAAGAGACAGAAACGAGAAGAUGUGAGAUGUUGGGCCAUUCGAGGGGAAACGUCACUAUUGGUCGUUUGGGCGAAUCCUGAAAAGUAUCGUCACUUGGAAUGAGCUUCGCUUUGUCCAUCGUGUUGAUUCUACGGCAGCCCAGAGAUAAAAAGAAUAGAUGUGCGGCCGGUGCGAAAAAAAAAAAAAAUAGACAGAAGCAGAAGUUGCUGUUUUCAAAGACGGUUCGCCAAUUCUCGUUUAUGCGCCACCUCGCUGCCAAUUCAUAACGCGCAGUGAGAGAGUAGAACAGUGUGCCGCGGUGCUUAAACGGUUCCAGCACCACCGUAAUGUCAACAGAAGCGUCGGAGCGCGAUGUUCCACACUGUGUGUCUGAGAGUAAACGGGCCUCGAAGCCUUUCUUUGUGAAUGCCCACGCUGGCGUGAUGUGUGUGUGUGUGUGUGCGUGCGUGCGUGCGUGAGGGCACAUCCAAAGCGAACAACUCCUGCGGUUACUAAAGUCAAAGUACGCAAAAAAAAAAAGAAAGAAAGCUAAAGUCUGGAUUAUGGAAAUUUCAGAGGCCGGAAUUCCUCGGUUUGCUUCCAAACAUCACUCGCCCUCGGUGUGGUCAAGUCCAUAAAACACACACACACACACACACACGCGUGCAGACAAAAGGCCAGUCAGUGUAACGCCGGUGAACCGCGGCGGUAUAAAUCUGAAAGUCCCAACAUAAUACGGCGACGGCCACAGAAAUGUCAACAGUCUACUUGACCCCCCGGAAUGGAUGUCGGGGGGAACGGAGGCGAGCGAGGGGAGAAAAAAACGGAGCGACGGAUAAACAGAGAGGAAGACCCGACGGCUGCGAGGUGGCCCGGAGCAAACGGAGGACGGCGGUGAGACUGUGGCAGGAAAAAAAAACAACAUCAUUUCAGACGGCGUGAUGCUGCGUGGAUGCCUGUGUGUGUGUGUGUGGGGGGGUCCCAGGGGGCAAUGCCAUGAUAACACGCCUGGAGGACCCUCAUAGGAGCUGGGAAUGCCCCGGGUAGCCCCGAAUAAGGUGGCAGGGGAUUGGUUAGUUCCAUCAGACAUCACAAACUAAGGUCACUUUUACCACAAAG
ensembl:lncRNA